UACGUAGGGUGCAAGCGUUGUCCGGAAUUAUUGGGCGUAAAGAGCUCGUAGGCGGUCUGUUGCGUCGGCUGUGAAAACCCGGGGCUCAACCCCGGGCCUGCAGCCGAUACGGGCAGACUAGAGUUCGGCAGGGGAGACUGGAAUUCCCGGUGUAGCGGUGAAAUGCGCAGAUAUCGGGAGGAACACCGGUGGCGAAGGCGGUUCUCUGGGCCUGUACUGACGCUGAGGAGCGAAAGCGUGGGGAGCGAACAGG
rnacentral:rRNA from 1 species